rnacentral:rRNA from 1 species
AGUGAACGCUGGCGGUAGACCUAACACAUGCAAGUCGAACGGCAGCACAGGAGAGCUUGCUCUCUGGGUGGCGAGUGGCGGACGGGUGAGGAAUACAUCGGAAUCUACUUUUUCGUGGGGGAUAACGUAGGGAAACUUACGCUAAUACCGCAUACGACCUACGGGUGAAAGCAGGGGACCUUCGGGCCUUGCGCGAUUGAAUGAGCCGAUGUCGGAUUAGCUAGUUGGCGGGGUAAAGGCCCACCAAGGCGACGAUCCGUAGCUGGUCUGAGAGAAUGAUCAGCCACACUGGAACUGAGACACGGUCCAGACUCCUACGGGAGGCAGCAGUGGGGAAUAUUGGACAAUGGGCGCAAGCCUGAUCCAGCCAUACCGCGUGGGUGAAGAAGGCCCUCGGGUUGUAAAGCCCUUUUGUUGGGAAAGAAAUCCAGCUGGCUAAUACCCGGUUGGGAUGACGGUACCCAAAGAAUAAGCACCGGCUAACUUCGUGCCAGCAGCCGCGGUAA